rnacentral:rRNA from 1 species
CUCGUAGGCUGCCAACUAAGUCAUACGUGAAAUCCCUCAGCUUAACUGGGGAACUGCGUGUGAUACUGGAUGGCUUGGAUUUGGGAGAGGGAUGCGGAAUUCCAGGUGUAGCGGUGAAAUGCGUAGAUAUCUGGAGGAACACCGGUGGCGAAGGCGGCAUCCUGGACCAAUAUUGACGCUGAGGAGCGAAAGCCAGGGGAGCAAACG